rnacentral:rRNA from 1 species
GUAGGUGGCAAGCGUUGUCCGGAAUUAUUGGGCGUAAAGCGCGCGCAGGCGGUUUUUAAGUCUGAUGUGAAAGCCCACGGGCUCAACCGUGGAGGGUCAUUGGAAACUGGGGAACUUGAGUACAGAAGAGGAAAGCGGAAUUCCACGUGUAGCGGUGAAAUGCGUAGAGAUGUGGAGGAACACCAGUGGCGAAGGCGGCUUUCUGGUCUGUAACUGACGCUGAGGCGCGAAAGCGUGGGGAGCAAACAGGAUUAGAUACCCUGGUAGUCCACGCCGUAAACGAUGAGUGCUAAGUGCUAGGGGGUUUCCGCCCCUUAGUGCUGCAGCUAACGCAUUAAGCACUCCGCCUGGGGAGUACGGCCGCAAAGGCUG